CCUACGGGAGGCAGCAGUGAGGAAUAUUGGACAAUGGGCGCAAGCCUGAUCCAGCCAUGCCGCGUGCAGGAAGAAGCAUCUAUGGUGUGUAAACUGCUUUUGUACAGGAAGAAACACUCCCUCGUGAGGGAGCUUGACGGUACUGUAAGAAUAAGGACCGGCUAACUCCGUGCCAGCAGCCGCGGUAAUACGGAGGGUCCGAGCGUUAUCCGGAAUCAUUGGGUUUAAAGGGUCCGUAGGCGGUUUAAUAAGUCAGUGGUGAAAUCUGGUCGCUCAACGAUCAAACGGCCAUUGAUACUGUUAGACUUGAAUUAUAAGGAAGUAACUAGAAUAUGUAGUGUAGCGGUGAAAUGCUUAGAUAUUACAUGGAAUACCAAUUGCGAAGGCAGGUUACUACUUAUGGAUUGACGCUGAUGGACGAAAGCGUGGGGAGCGAACAGGAUUAGAUACCCUGGUAGUCCACGCCGUAAACGAUGGAUACUAGCUGUUCGGAGCAAUCUGAGUGNGUAGACGAAGUAGAUAAGUAUACCACCGUCGGGAGGUACGUUCGUCGAGAAGUAGAACGUACGAAGAAGUAGUAGUACGUAGAGAGAGCGACGACGGACGACGACGGAGGGAGGAGG
rnacentral:rRNA from 1 species